ensembl:lncRNA
GUAGAGACAGGUAGAGAGAGAGGGAUAGAUGGAGGGAGAGGUAGAGACAGGUAGAGAGAGAGGGAUAGAUGGAGGGAGAGGUAGAGACAGGUAGAGACAGGUAGAGAGAGAGGGAUAGAUGGAGGGAGAGGUAGAGACAGGUAGAGAGAGAGGGAUAGAUGGAGGGAGGGAGAGGUAGAGACAGGUAGAGAGAGAGGGAUAGAUGGAGGGAGGGAGAGGUAGAGACAGGUAGAGAGAGAGGGAUAGAUGGAGGGAGAGGUAGAGACAGGUAGAGACAGGUAGAGAGAGAGGGAUAGAUGGAGGGAGGGGUAGAGAGAGAGGGAUAGAUGGAGGGUGAGGUAGAGACAGGUAGAGACAGGUAGAGAGAGAGGGAUAGAUGGAGGGAGGGGUAGAGACAGGUAGAGAGAAAGGGAUAGAUGGAGGCAGAGGUAGAGACAGGUAGAGAGAGAGGGAUAGAUGGAGGGAGAGGUAGAGACAGGUAGAGAGAGAGGGAUAGAUGGAGGCAGAGGUAGAGACAGGUAGAGAGAGAGGGAGUGGUAAAGAGAGAGUGAGGAGAGAGUAUAUCCAGUAUAUUGUAUAGGUGACUGUCUAG